rnacentral:rRNA from 1 species
UACAGAGGUCCCAAGCGUUGUUCGGAUUCACUGGGCGUAAAGGGUGCGUAGGCGGUCGGGUAAGUCUGACGUGAAAUCUUCAAGCUCAACUUGGAAACUGCGUCGGAUACUAUUCGGCUAGAGGAAUGGAGGGGAGACUGGAAUACUUGGUGUAGCAGUGAAAUGCGUAGAUAUCAAGAGGAACACCUGAGGUGAAGACGGGUUGCUGGGCUGACACUGACGCUGAGGCGCGAAAGCUAGAGGAGCAAACGGG